rnacentral:lncRNA from 1 species
UUCAUACUCUCAAAUCCAAUCCUAUUCAAAUUAUAAAAAUUUGAGAGAAAAGGAAGUGAAGAAGAUAUUGGAAUUUAUGUUGGUGAGACUUAUGUAAUAUAAUUGCUGGAAGUCUUGCCACAUGUAAAUCCAGUAUAUUUCUUCUUUUUCUUUUUUUUUUCUAGUUUUUACGGUACGAGGUGUUUACGGCGAUUUUGGUUACGAGGUGUUUACGACGAUUUUGGUUACGAGGUGUUUACGACGAUUCCGUCCUACGUGGAAUUAAAGUGGGCCGCGUUCAUCAUUUACUUUACGUGGUAUUUACGACCAAUCUCUCCUACGUGGUAUUUACGACGAAUCUGUCCUACGUGGUAUUUACGAGGAAUUCGUCGUAAGUUCGACGUUAACAUACGAGGAAUUAACGAGUAUUCCGUUUAAAUCCCUAAAAUCCGAAACUCCAAACCCCAUAUUCCUAAAAUAAACUUUCACAUUACCUUAUUCAUAAAUCAAACUCCCACAUUAUCUUAUUCAUAAAACAAACUACAUAAAAUUAAAU